rnacentral:rRNA from 1 species
ACGUAGGGUGCGAGCGUUGUCCGGAAUUACUGGGCGUAAAGAGCUCGUAGGCGGUUUGUCGCGUCGUCUGUGAAAUCCCGCAGCUCAACUGCGGGCUUGCAGGCGAUACGGGCAGACUCGAGUACUGCAGGGGAGACUGGAAUUCCAGGUGUAGCGGUGAAAUGCGUAGAUAUCUGGAGGAAUACCGGUGGCGAAGGCGGCAUCCUGGACCGACAUUGACGCUGAGGAGCGAAAGCUAGGGGAGCAAACGGGA